AAGUAUUAUAUAGAUCUGCUCAUGAUAUUAAUAGCCGCUUGUUGUGCUAAGGUAGCAUAAUCAUUUGUCUUUUAAAUGAAGACUAGAACAAAGGAUUUAACAUUUUAAUAAAUAUUACUUAUUAAAUAAUUCUAAAUUAUCUUAAAAGUAAAAAGGCUUUUAUAAAAAAGAAAGACGACAAGACCCUAUUGAACUUAACUACUGUUAUACUGGGGUAGUAUAUAAAUAAAUAUUUUUAUUUUUUUUUUUAAAGAAAAAAGAGAUCUAGUAACAUUAAUCUAAUAAUCAAGUUACCAUAGGGAUAACAGCGUAAUUUAAUUCAAAAGAUCUUAUAUAAAAAUAAGAUUACGACCUCGAUGUUGAAUUAAUAACCUAAUUAAAGCAAAGUUUAAAAAAGGAAGUCUGUUCGACUUUUAAAAAUUUACAUGAUCUGAGUUCCAAACCGGA
rnacentral:rRNA from 1 species